rnacentral:lncRNA from 1 species
ACAACUCACCUAAUAAAUGGUGAAAACGAAGAUGUAAUGUGCUUUCUUAUCUCAACAAUGUGCACAACAACUAAGAGUGAAACUUCCUCUCCACCAUUACACCAACACCAGCUCUUAUGGAGUUUUUUCCAAAAGGAAGAAGACAAGACAAAGUUGAGUUUAGAAAGUUGUGUUGGAUGCACCUGAAAAAUGAUAUGUUGCUGGGAGAAAUUGCCAAGAAAAUAUGCGGUAGUUAAAACUAUUAGCCCACCAGAUAUUGCACUGUAUUCGGUGUAUUGUUUUGAAGUACCGAUGAACUAAAUUCUUAACUCGACGAAGAAAAUGUGAACAACAUAGAUUCAUUAAUAGUAUGUUUGGGCGAAGUUCUUCCUAAAUUCCUUUUAGGAGAGAAAAAUUAAAGAAAAAAAAAUUAAAAUUAGUUUUUUCAUAAACUAAGAUUAAUUUAUGUAUAAAUUGAAAGUAAAAAUUUAGAAAAACUAAAUAAGAGCUCUUCUACAAAUUAACUUAUGAGUCAAUUUUCGUUUACACAAAAAUUAAUUUCAAAAUUUUAUCCUAUUUUUUUCCUAGAAAAAAACUAGUGGAAGAGUUAUCCAAAU